UUAACAUAAAAAACGGCACCCACCGGGCAAUGUGUUUAAAUGUGUCACGGUUGGGGUGCAACUGCACGUGCACAUGUGCAGGGUGACGCUUCCAGAUGUCGAGAACGGCCGGGCCGAUUGUGCUCAGAUUUGGCACAUCGCUAGAGACCGGUUAGUAGGGUGCCGUGCGCAAGUGGGAACUGAAAAUGUCUAAAAUAGAGAUGUUGCAGCUUGAAGGAAAUGCAAUCAAACUGUCAAUCAUACAGUGAUACUGUUUUUUUUUUUACAGGAGACAAGAUUGAAGUGCAGCCAACACUGCAUGGUGCUUCUCACAAGAGCUGACCCAUUGCUGUUUUUCAACUCUUCUGGAAAAGAUCCCGAAAGAAGAUAACAGCUUGUUUUCUUCACCGCCACCAGUCUACCUGCUCUCUGCACACUCGGCAGAGCGCGGCAGGGCACCCCACGGAGCUGCACUAGUCACAUCCGGGCCCCACGCCGGUCGACGGCCGAUGCGAUGGAGGCACUACUCCGAGCUGGACUGGUGGCCGGCUCGGAGCUGGUGGAUGUCGACCGCGGAGCGGCGAUCUACUCCUUCCACCGGGGCCGGCAGCAGGAGCUCCAGAUGUCCUUGUGCCACCCGUCCGGCCAGGCCUCCAUCCACCUUGUAGAGGCGGAGCGGGAGACGGUGAAGCUCACGGCUCCGUUGGAACAUGGCCGCUGGGAGGCCUGCGGCGCGGACGACGGAUGCGGCAGUUGGUCAAGACACGGCAGCCUACUCGAGGUGCUUCUCGCCUGGAGGACGCAGGCGAAUCGCGUUAUCCGAGCUGUGCCUCGUCAUGGUGCGAUGAGCCUUAAUAGACUAAUGCAUAUUCUUCCUUUGGCUGUAAUUCAUUUGCUGCUGCCCGCUGGGCUAAGGAGUAACUCUGGGCGCCUACUUUGGGCAGACGCUCGUCCAGUGCCGCUCUUCGUUUGCCGCACAUAUCUUUAUUUAUUCUUUGUUACAAUUCCGUCUUUGGUCAUUUUUUUUUUUACCAUGGGGGCACUUGAAAGUUUUGUUUUUAAAUCUGUGGACAUUGAACCUGGAAUCGGUUUUUGUCGGAUUUCGGUUUUGUUUUUGCACUGUGGAAAUAUCUCGUUCAAUAUUUUUUAAGAUAGGGCGUGCAUAAACUUUUAGUCUCAUUACUCCUCUGUGCAUCUAAAUUCUAAAGUACUAUAAUGUGUAUCUCAAGUGUUUGGUGCUGUACUGUUAUUAUUUAUGGUUAAUCCAGUGCUGAUUUAUGGUUAAUCCAGUUUUUAUUCGAUUGAAUCGUUGUGUGUAAUGUGCAUGACAUCCGCGUACCGCCUGUAGCAGUGUUAUAUAUUUUCAUUUAUGCUGGAAAAUAAUAACUUUCUUGUUCA